AUUCUGCAGUCUCUUCUCACAGUCUGCCCCCCUUUCGAUUUCUUGCCAGUUCUUCCUCUCUUCUUGAUGUCUUGCAGUACCUAGUUCAACCUUGUUGUUGGUCACCCCAGAGGUGUCUUUCCUUCUUGGUACCCUUGUUCUGUCCAUUGUGUUUACAUGACCAAAUGCUUAUAAUUGUUCUUCCUCUUCCAACACUGUUAACACAUUAUGAACCAACGCCUUUUCUAAUUCUCAUGCCCGUGCUGUUUAAUUUUGACAGGUACAAGUGUCUGCCCUUCAGACUACAGCUUGUCUGAGUAUGAGAGACCAAGGUUCCAGAGAGACACGCGUGAACGCAGGCAUUAGUGGACUUCAUCACAUGACAUGGGAUCAGCAGUGACAUGUAUUGGGCAUCUUGCUGCAUUAGUCUUCAGUGAAACUUCAUGGACUGUUGGUUGGACCACCACUUAGUCAGUGCUUUCAUGUAAAUUCAACGUGUUCCGGCUACAAA